AAAGGUGGACUUUUUAAACUUUAGGCUAACCUAAAAGGUUAAAGGUUAUACCGAGAGCGUAUUUCUAAUUAUACAUGUAUAUAUAAAGUGUUCCAAUUCGUUUGUAAGUUCAUUUCAACAAGAACAAAGCAACAAAGUCUGCAACGACACAUCUACUAAAACACACCAAAAUGAAACUUUUCAUUCCAUUGGCUUUCCUUUGCGUCCUCGUCAUUUCCUGUCAGGCCCAGGAUCCACUUAAGGAGAAGAUCUUGUGCAUCAUUGAGACACGUCUGUCCUCAAAUCUCUGUAAGAGCACCUCCAAGGCACAGGCCAUGGCCGGAAGCGACCCCGCCACAGCAUGUUCCACUUUGGAAACCUUCAGAAUUAUGUUGCCAUUAGUGGGAUGCACAACUGCAGACUACGAUCUUCUGCAUUCUAUCGUCUGCGAACACAAGGACAUCCCCUGUUCACACGCAGCAUAGAAUUACAGCUGGCAACAAAAGAACAUACCUAUUUUUUAAAAUGCCUUUUAAAUAUUUUUUGACCUAAUAAACCUUGUUUUAUUUAA